UAGGCGGCGGCAGAGCACGGCGCUUUGAAUCCUGACAGCGGGCUGCUGCCGGUCUGUUUAUCGGCUGUUUGUGUUUCCUCUCAGCCUCAAGUCCCGGAGCAGCCGUCCGGUCAUCUGAGCAAAACAACCGGCAGAGACUCCAGCGCGUUUAUCUCCGUGUUCUGGUGUUUAUUGUGUCCUUUUCUUACCGGUAAGCUAACGGUCGUUAGCUUGGUACCAUGGUGACACUCCGCGUCAGAGGCAGCGGGCCGCAGCAGCAGCUCAGGCCGGACAGGAGCUCCGAUUCCCCGCAGAGGACUCCACCCCGGAGACGGAGCUCCGAUUCCCCGCAGAGGACUCCACCCCGGAGACGGAGCUCCGAUUCCCCGCAGAGGACUCCACCCCGGAGACGGAGCUCGAUCACUGAUGGAUUCAGUGCCGAAGAUGAUGAAGACAAUCACGACGAUUCAGAAACACACGAGGAUGAAGAUGAGAAGCGACCGAGAGCCAUCAUCAGGAAAUCUCCAAGGCUUCAAAACACAACAGGUGUCAGGAGGAGUGGGCUGAGGAGGAGCACCAGGCUGACCAAACUGACCAGCAGAUAUCAGGCCUCCAACAUGUUUGACGGCAUCAGCACCAACACGACCAGGUCGGUCCUAAAGAGGAUGGACAACAUGAAGAAGAAGAGGCGACUGAGUAACAACAAAGAAGGAAAGAUCUACUCUAAAGCUCAGAGGAGGCGAACGCCGCUGCCGCCACAGAGCUCGCUCAGCGAGAGCGAGGACGGACAGGGUGCAGUCGAUGACGAGGACAGCAGGCAGGAAGUGGCUGCAGAUGACGACAGCAACGGCGCUAACCAGAAUUUUGACGCCAAAGUGAGCCGAGCCUCGUCACUCUACCAGGGACCCAGCAGUGAGUUCCCUAAAGGGUCCUUCAGGAUCAGCGCCUCAGGACCAAACACGACCCGCAGAGGAGCGUUCAGACCCAAUAAGAGUGCGUGGUCGAAUCAGUCUGAUGAAGACAACGACUCUGACGAUGAAGUACAAAACGUUGAAAAGGUCCCCGGAAGUUGUCGCCCGCUCGGCCUGCGUACAGAAGAUUUUCUGGGGCCUCGCCGAGACAAGAUGAACGCAGGAGCAGGUCUGGCAGACAUCGAUCCCAUGACCAUCGACCAAUCAGUGGGGUUUGACAGCAUCGGAGGUCUGUCGGGUCACAUCUCUGCUCUGAAGGAGAUGGUUGUCUUCCCGCUUCUCUACCCCGAGGUGUUUGACAACUUCAAGAUCCAGCCUCCCAGAGGCUGUCUGUUUUACGGACCUCCUGGGACGGGGAAAACGCUGGUUGCCCGGGCGCUGGCCAACGAGUGUAGCCACGGCAACAGGAAGGUGGCGUUCUUCAUGAGGAAGGGAGCCGACUGUCUCAGCAAGUGGGUGGGCGAGUCGGAGCGGCAGCUGCGGCUGCUAUUCGAGCAGGCGUAUCAGAUGCGUCCCUCCAUCAUCUUCUUUGACGAGAUCGACGGUCUGGCUCCGGUCCGAUCCAGCAGACAGGACCAGAUACACAGCUCCAUCGUGUCGACGCUCCUGGCUCUGAUGGACGGGUUGGACAGUCGAGGUGAGGUUGUGGUGAUCGGAGCCACAAACCGGCUGGACUCCAUCGACCCGGCGCUGCGACGGCCGGGACGCUUCGACAGGGAGUUCCUGUUUGGACUGCCUGACAAAGAGUCUCGUAAAGAGAUUCUGAAAAUCCACACCAGGCAGUGGAAAUCUCCUCCGUCUGAAGAUUUCCUGGAUGAACUGGCCGAGAGAUGUGUCGGUUACUGCGGCGCUGACGUCAGGGCGGUGUGCACCGAGGCGGCGCUGUGCGCUCUGCGGCGCCGCUACCCGCAGAUCUACGGCACCUCCCAGAAGCUCCUGCUGGACGUCUCCUCCAUCGCCGUCACCAGCUGCGACUUUGUUGCGGCCAUGAGAAAGAUGUCGCCAGCCUCCCACCGCCUCGCCGCUUCGCCCGCCAAACCUUUAUCACCUGUGGUUCACCCGCUGCUGGGCGCCGCCCUGCACGACAUCCUGGAGGCUCUGCAGAGGCUGUUCCCUCACGCCGAGCAGGGGAUGAAGAGGAAGAGGGAGCCAGAUCUGACCUCUGGUAUCCUUGACGACGGCCUGAUGUGCGGAGGAAACGAGGUCUCCAGCACGUCCAGCAUCUCCGCACACUCCACCUCCAGGAGCAGAAGCUUCCUGCACUUUGCCAGGAGUGCUGUCAGACACCCAACGUCCUACCGUCCCAGGAUGCUCCUGGCAGGUCGUCCUGGUGCCGGUCAGACCUCCCACCUGGCUCCUGCGGUUCUGCACGCUUUGGAGCGUUUCACAGUCCACAGCCUGGACUCUGCGGUGCUGUUUGGAGUCAGCAGCACCUCCCCGGAGGAAGCCUGCGCCCAGGUGUUCUGCGAGGCCAAGCGGACGUCUCCCAGCAUCCUCUACAUCCCCCACAUCCAGCAGUGGUGGGAGACAGCAGGGCCCGCAUUGAGGGCCUCCUUCCUCAGCCUGCUAGGCAGCAUCCCCUCCUUCACCCCCAUCCUCCUCCUCGCCACCUGCAGCGUCCCCCGUCAACAGCUGGACCCUGAGAUUCAGUUUCUGUUCCGGGAAGAUUACGGGGAGGUUUACACCAUCAGUGUUCCCACCCGGCAGGAGAGGACAGACUUCUUCCAGGACCUCAUUCUGGACCAGGCGGCCGAGGCUCCACCCUGCAACAAAAAAACAUUGACUCAGGCCAUGGAGAUCCUUCCCCUGGCUCCCCCGCCUCCCCCCCGCCAGCUGCCGGAGCAGGAGCUCCUCUAUCUGGAGGAGCAGGAGGAGGACGUGCUGCGGGAGCUCCGCCUCUUCCUGCGUAACGUCACAGAGCGUCUGAUUUUGGACCGCCGCUUCAAGGCUUUCACCAAACCGGUCGACAUAGAGGAGGUCCCGGACUACAUGAUGGUGAUCAGGAAGCCCAUGGACUUCUCCACGCUGCUGACCAACAUCGACCAGCACAAGUACGUCACCGUCAGAGAGUUCAUGUCUGACGCGGACCUCAUCUGGCAGAACGCCCUCGAGUACAACCCAGACAGCGACCCCAUGGACCGCCACAUCCGUCACCGUGCGUGCGCUCUGAAGGACACGGUGCGCGCCAUCAUCCGAGACGAGCUGGACGAAGACUUUGCGAGAGUCUGCGAGGAGAUCCAAGAGUCGCGCAUCAAGAGAGCUUCUUCUGAGGCCAACCCAGAGCACACCGACGGCGUCCGCAGCUCGCCGUGGAGCAGAAACAGCCCCGGACCUCGACCUCGCAACAAGAAGCGCUACAAGCAGCGGAGAAAAACCAAGUGGAGCACCGGUGUCAUAAAGAAAAUCAAGAAGAAGAAGCCGCCCGUCCCUGCCUCGUCUUCCUCUACCUCCACGUCCAGCGGGGGGAACUCUGAAUCGGGCCCAGAGGGAGACAGAGCUGUUGUGAACGGCUCAUGCGCCGCGUCAGAGAGCAGCGACGGCGAGCAGAGACACCCAACAGCCACGAACGGGUAUCAUCACGACUUAAACGGCGUCACAGGUAUCCAAAAUGGAGUCCUUGUCAAUGGGUACCACGAUCACCCCGAGCCACUUGACCUCCAGCCAGCAAAACGAUCUCUGAACCUCAGAGAUCGAACCCGGACGUCAAAGACUACCUCGAACCUGGAGACGAUGGCGAACGGGGUUUGUUUGAGAAAAACAGGUCUGUAUGUGUGAGAAAGUGCCAUUCGGCGGUGCGAGUUCAUGCUCUACUAACUGGUCUUCACUGGACUGCGACAAAGCUACGCUGCUGCAGCUUCGAAGUGUGCGCAACAGGGAGUGAAAAAAAGUGUAGCAUGGACGAGGCGAGAGCCGGCGAGGCCGCCUUGGAGCAGAUGCAGCUGUUCAACAGAGGCAGAUCUGUGGAGAUCCUCGACGAGGAAACGCCGCCGCUGGUGGUCGAUCACAGCAAACUGAG